UUGGUAGAGCCAGAGCUUUCAGCAGUGAUAUGCCAGAGUGCUGCCAUGAACAGCCGAAAGUAAAAAUCAAAAUAUGAAAUAUAGCUUCUCCCCCCAACCUCUCGGUCAACGACGUUCUAAUUCCCCUUUCAUCUCGCUCGCGGCGUCAUUCCCAAAGCAUCCAGAAUGUUUCUGGCUUCUACCAAAAACACAAAAGCUUCAGUUACUGGUGGCGAAAGUGGGUUUCAUAGGAGUGUGCAAACCAAAUUCUCCUAUCAAAAGCCUUCACAUGAUUCGGGUAAUGAAGCGAAAAUUCUCCUCAUGUGUGUCGGGGCUUUUCGGUUAUCCGCAGAGCAAAAGUUUCAAAAGCUGCUGAGACAGCUCAAAGCAUAUUUUUGUUCCCUCCGAAGCUCAUGCUUACAAGGUAUUCUGUUUGCAUUCUCAAGGCGUUUCACUACCUAUC
rnacentral:lncRNA from 1 species